rnacentral:rRNA from 1 species
GACGAACGCUGGCGGCGUGCUCACCCAUGCAAGUCGAACGGAAAGGCCCUGCUUUUGUGGGGUGCUCGAGUGGCGAACGGGUGAGUAACACGUGAGUAACCUGCCCUUGACUUUGGGAUAACUUCAGGAAACUGGGGCUAAUACCGGAUAGGAGCUCCUGCUGCAUGGUGGGGGUUGGAAAGUUUCGGCGGUUGGGGAUGGACUCGCGGCUUAUCAGCUUGUUGGUGGGGUAGUGGCUUACCAAGGCUUUGACGGGUAGCCGGCCUGAGAGGGUGACCGGCCACAUUGGGACUGAGAUACGGCCCAGACUCCUACGGGAGGCAGCAGUGGGGAAUAUUGCACAAUGGGCGGAAGCCUGAUGCAGCAACGCCGCGUGCGGGAUGACGGCCUUCGGGUUGUAAACCGCUUUCGCCUGUGACGAAGCGUGAGUGACGGUAAUGGGUAAAGAAGCACCGGCUAACUACGUG